GAGGAAAGCCUUCCCUGAAUUUCAGUCCAUGAGUUGGGUUAGACAUCAAAGGAAAAGGGCCAGACUCUUCAUCCCAGAUCCUGGGCUCUGAUAAGAGAUGGACAGAGGAAGAAUGACCGAAAUGCCUUUGGGCAUCCUUCUGCUCUAGAGUACAGUCUCUCAGGGCUUGUUACCGGAAAGAACCAUCCACUGACUUCUGUUCUUGAUAAAGGAGCCACAAUACGAG
rnacentral:lncRNA from 1 species